AAGGAGAUGGCAACCCCCUCCAGGGUCUUCACCAAGAAGAACCUAAGUGAUGUCGUGAAGAGUCAGACACAACUGAAACUUAACUGAAGAACAACCCGGAUUUUGAAGGGCUUCAAGACAGUGCCACACUAGCUCUUCAGAGUCUUCAGUCCAACCAUGGGAAGGAGAAGGGGCUAAAGAAAGGGAUUCUGCUAACGCUUGUGAACAGGCUGAGUCACAUCCUUGGGUGCUCCCCACACCUGGCAGAUCACUUCCUUCACACAAACUUCCCUUGACUACAAAGAAUGGUUGGAAU